GGGCUCACACAAGCGGUGGAGGAUGUGGCUUAAUUCGAGGCUACGCGAAGAACCUUAUCCUAGUCUUGACAUGCUUGGAUUAACCCUGUGAAAGCAGGGCCACGCCUUCGGGUGGAACAAGCACAGGUGCUGCAUGGCUGUCGUCAGCUCGUGUCGUGAGAUGUCGCGUUAAGUCGCUUAACGAGCGAAACCCUUGUCUCUAGUUGCCAGCGAGUAAAGUCGGGGACUCUAGAGAGACCGCCGGUGUUAAACCGGAGGAAGGUGGGGAUGACGUCAAGUCCUCAUGGCCCUUAUGACUAGGGCUGCACACGUCCUACAAUGGAGCGCACAAAGGGAUGCAAAACCGCGAGGUCGAGCAAAUCCCAAAAAACGCUCCCUAGUUCGGAUUGUAGGCUGCAACUCGCCUACAUGAAGCUGGAAUCGCUAGUAA
rnacentral:rRNA from 1 species